rnacentral:rRNA from 1 species
CCUACGGGAGGCAGCAGUGGGGGAUAUUGGACAAUGGGGGGAACCCUGAUCCAGCGACGCCGCGUGAGUGAAGAAGUAUUUCGGUAUGUAAAGCUCUGUCAGCAGGGAAGAAAGAAAUGACGGUACCUGACCAAGAAGCCCCGGCUAACUACGUGCCAGCAGCCGCGGUAAUACGUAGGGGGCAAGCGUUAUCCGGAAUUACUGGGUGUAAAGGGAGCGUAGACGGUUAAGUAAGUCUGGAGUGAAAGGCCGGGGCUCAACCCCGGGACUGCUUUGGAAACUGCCUGACUGGAGUGCUGGAGAGGCAAGCGGAAUUCCUAGUGUAGCGGUGAAAUGCGUAGAUAUUAGGAAGAACACCAGUGGCGAAGGCGGCUUGCUGGACAGUAACUGACGUUGAGGCUCGAAAGCGUGGGGAGCAAACAGGAUUAGAUUCCCUGGUAGUC